rnacentral:misc_RNA from 1 species
AAGUCGUAACAAGGUUUCCGUAGGUGAACCUGCGGAAGGAUCAUUACCAAUUUUAGCGAGCCUGGCAUUACGUCCAUGGUCUCGUGAAAUUAUUGUAUUUAAAACCCCACUCUUCUAUAAUAAAAUAAUAUGUAUUCAUGAUAAAAAUUAAAGAUCA